rnacentral:rRNA from 1 species
AAGAGACAGCAGUAGCCGCGGUAAUACAGAGGGUGCGAGCGUUAAUCGGAAUUACUGGGCGUAAAGCGCGCGUAGACGGUUUUGUAAGUCAGAUGUGAAAUCCCUGGGCUCAACCUGGGAACUGCAUUUGAAACUGCAUGGCUAGAGUAUCGAAGAGGGAAGUGGAAUUUCCGGUGUAGCGGUGAAAUGCGUAGAUAUCGGAAGGAACACCAGUGGCGAAAGCGACUUCCUGGUCGAAUACUGACGUUCAUGUGCGAAAGCGUGGGGAGCAAACAGGAUUAGAUACCCCAGUAGUCCCUGUCUCUUAUAU